UAACCCGGCGAAAGUCGGACUAAUACCGUAUGAUAUCCUAUGCAGGCANUCUAACUAGGAUUAAAGGUUUAGCGGUAAGGGAUGGGGAUGCGUCUGAUUAGGCAGUUGGCGGGGUAACGGCCCACCAAACCGACGAUCAGUAGGGGUUCUGAGAGGAAGGUCCCCCACAUUGGAACUGAGACACGGUCCAAACUCCUACGGGAGGCAGCAGUC
rnacentral:rRNA from 1 species